GAUGAACGCUGGCGGUAUGCCUAACACAUGCAAGUCGUACGAGAGUUUUUAACUCUAGUGGCGGACGGGUGAGUAACACGUGAGAAUUUGCCUUUAGGGAGGGGGGACAACAAUUGGAAACGAAUGCUAAUACCCCAUAUGCUUUCGAGUGAAAUGGAUUUUAUCCGCCUAGAGAGAAGCUCGCGGCUGAUUAGCUUGUUGGUAAGGUAAGAGCUUACCAAGGCGACGAUCAGUAUCUGGUUUUGAGAGGACGAUCAGACACACUGGAACUGAGACACGGUCCAGACUCCUACGGGAGGCAGCAGUGGGGAAUUUUCCGCAAUGGGCGAAAGCCUGACGGAGCAAUACCGCGUGAGGGAAGAAUGCCUAUGGGUGUAAAGCUCUUUUGUCCAGGGAAGAAACAGCAG
rnacentral:rRNA from 1 species